rnacentral:rRNA from 1 species
CGCCUCUUGAUAUUAUAUAAGAGGUCCAGCCUGCCCAGUGACUCUGUUCAACGGCCGCGGUAUCCUAACCGUGCGAAGGUAGCGUAAUCACUUGUUCUUUAAAUGAGGACUAGUAUGAAUGGCACCACGAAGGUUUUACUGUCUCCCUUUUUUAAUCAGUGAAACUAAUCUUCCCGUGAAGAAGCGGGAAUAGACCUAUAAGACGAGAAGACCCUAUGGAGCUUUAAACUAUUUAUCAACUGCUCACCCAUCUCUAUUAUUUCAGAACCAUAUCUUUUAUUAUAGCUUUUUUGAUAAUAAGUUUUAGGUUGGGGUGACCGCGGAGUAAAAAAUAACCUCCAUAUUGAAAGGAAACCUUUCCUGAACAAUAAACUACAAUUUUAUGUACUAAUAUAUUAACAUUAAUUGACCCAAUAAUUUGACCAACGAACCAAGUUACCCUAGGGAUAACAGCGCAAUCUACUUCGAGAGCUCCUAUCGACAAGUAGGUUUACGACCUCGAUGUUGGAUCAGGGUAUCCUAGUGGUGCAGCCGCUACUAAAGGUUCGUUUGUUCAACGAUUAAAACC